rnacentral:rRNA from 1 species
GUCGAGCGGAACGAUGAUAGCUUGCUAUCAGGCGUCGAGCGGCGGACGGGUGAGUAAUACUUAGGAAUCUACCUAGUAGUGGGGGAUAGCACGGGGAAACUCGUAUUAAUACCGCAUACGACCUACGGGAGAAAGGGGGCAGUUUACUGCUCUCGCUAUUAGAUGAGCCUAAGUCGGAUUAGCUAGAUGGUGGGGUAAAGGCCUACCAUGGCGACGAUCUGUAGCUGGUCUGAGAGGAUGAUCAGCCACACCGGGACUGAGACACGGCCCGGACUCCUACGGGAGGCAGCAGUGGGGAAUAUUGGACAAUGGGGGAAACCCUGAUCCAGCCAUGCCGCGUGUGUGAAGAAGGCCUUUUGGUUGUAAAGCACUUUAAGCAGUGAAGAAGACUCCGUGGUUAAUACCCACGGACGAUGACAUUAGCUGCAGAAUAAGCACCGGCUAACUCUGUGCCAGCAGCCGCGGUAAUACAGAGGGUGCAAGCGUUAAUCGGAAUUACUGGGCGUAAAGGGAGCGUAGGUGGCUCGAUAAGUCAGAUGUGAAAUCCCCGGGCUCAACCUGGGAACUGCAUCUGAUACUGUUGAGCUAGAGUAUGUGAGAGGAAGGUAGAAUUCCAGGUGUAGCGGUGAAAUGCGUAGAGAUCUGGAGGAAUACCGAUGGCGAAGGCAGCCUUCUGGCAUAAUACUGACACUGAGGCUCGAAAGCGUGGGUAGCAAACAGGAUUAGAUACCCUGGUAGUCCACGCCGUAAACGAUGUCUACUAGUCGUUGGGUCCCUUGAGGACUUAGUGACGCAGCUAACGCAAUAAGUAGACCGCCUGGGGAGUACGGCCGCAAGGUUAAAACUCAAAUGAAUUGACGGGGGCCCGCACAAGCGGUGGAGCAUGUGGUUUAAUUCGAUGCAACGCGAAGAACCUUACCUGGUCUUGACAUAUCUAGAAUCCUGCAGAGAUGCGGGAGUGCCUUCGGGAAUUAGAAUACAGGUGCUGCAUGGCUGUCGUCAGCUCGUGUCGUGAGAUGUUGGGUUAAGUCCCGCAACGAGCGCAACCCUUGUCCUUAGUUACCAGCGGGUUAAGCCGGGAACUCUAAGGAUACUGCCAGUGACAAACUGGAGGAAGGCGGGGACGACGUCAAGUCAUCAUGGCCCUUACGACCAGGGCUACACACGUGCUACAAUGGUAGGUACAGAGGGCAGCUACACAGCGAUGUGAUGCGAAUCUCAAAAAGCCUAUCGUAGUCCAGAUUGGAGUCUGCAACUCGACUCCAUGAAGUAGGAAUCGCUAGUAAUCGCGGAUCAGAAUGCCGCGGUGAAUACGUUCCCGGGCCUUGUACACACCGCCCGUCACACCAUGGGAGUUGAUUGCACCAGAAGUGGAUAGCUUAACCUCGGGGAG